GCAUUACACACCUUCUUCUUUUUAUGAAAACGAAACUUUAGAAAAGUACAGGGAUGUUUAGGCUCACAUGUGAGCUGUGGAACCACAUUUUGCAUAAAAACUGAACUUAUCCUGACUGACCAACAGCAAAAUCCAAAGAACGGCUGUCUUAUUGAUAUUAUUUUUCGCAGCCCUAAAAAUCACGAAAUACAUUUUUCAUGUAGAAGUUUUGAAUAGAUCGUUAGAAAAAAGCCCAAAUUUAAUAAUAAUAAUAACUAAAAAAAAUACUUGGUAUGCAUUCUCCUUAAUCUACAGGUUGUCAGGCCCAUGCAUUAAGAUAAACAAAUCACAACGCGUCCUAUGUCGCAUUAAUAUGCAUAAUGUAUUUUUUUUUCAUCACUUGCUAUUAAUAAUACAGUUGCUAUUAAUACUACAGCAUGCAUUUCUUUCAUUUUGUUUAUCUUAUUUAAAACAUAUUAUGUCCUGAACAACAACGUUUAAACCAAAAAUUAUAUCCUAUAGCUUGACAUAAGCAGUCGAAGCAGUCCGAAUAUAUGUUUAUAAAUCUGUAUUAGUUUAAUCAAUAACAAAACGAUUAAUUAAUUGUACAGGUGAAUAGUCCAUCUACAACACAAACUGCGUUGCAAAAUUUUAUAACCAAGCAAAAUCUGACGCACACUAAAUGUACGAAAAUAGUUUAUGCUUCCCAGGACACGUUUAGAAAAAUCCUACCUAUGACAAAUUAAAGGUAAACAAACAAUAAACACAUCAGGCAGAAUUUAUGAUAAAUGCACACUUUCCGGUGUUAGAAAUAGUCCAAAAUGUUGACUGCUUUUUCCUCCAAUAUAUCAUAGUAUGCAUUAUAUGGUUUUCAAAGAACAAACCGCAACAGAGGAAAGGAUUCAUAAAUGCAAGCUCCAAAGUUCAGAUUUUUGAAGAAUAGUCCGUUUUGUGUCAUACUCCUUCUUCUAUGGCAUCCAGUAGUCAUUCAGAAAGCUCUUGAGAUCUCUACACUCUCUGUGCGUUCUGGGGUUCAUAAGCAGUGCUAGAGCGCCCACUAUUUCAACAAACAGGAAUACGAUUUCACAAGACCUGGAACCACUCAAUAAAAAAGUUACUAUCCCUUUCGACAACUCUUUGCUAACUUUCGUGUAACAAUUCUCUACGGUUUCUCGACUUUGCUAAAACAAGAGAGUGAAACAACAUGGCAUGCCAAAGCGCGCUUAACCAUUUCAGCAAAAGCUCCAUCACACACGAAAGUUUUGAACAAGCGCGCAACGGCGGCAUCUGAUUUAAAGACUGCACGCACGGAUCACGGAGAGUGUGAGCUAUUUCAAUGAAAGUGAGGUCUUAAAAAAGAAAUGGACCCUGACAAGGACGCUUUCUCAGCAGGAACUGAUCAAUGAAAACGACACAUUGAUGAUUUGCGCAAGAGUUCAAAGUAUCGUGCUGCCGCUCUGGAGCGAAAGAAGUGAAAUUAGGACCUACUUUUGGCCAGUUUUCUCGCUCUCGCCUUGGAUCUCAUCUUGUCGGCUUGUAGAUUCCUCGCGUCCUCCUUGAGCUCAGAAGCUGCAGCAGCGCUAUCUUCAUCGCACGAGCAUUCUCCGCAACAUCUCGGAUCUCCCCCCGCCUCCCCUUCGCGAACUCUUUGGGAGAAAUAAGGGCUACUUUUUGAGGACCUGCAGAAUCCGUUACGAUACUGGACAUUGAAUCCUCGAUGGGAUCAAGGUCGCAGCCCUCAUAAAAGACUGUGGCCAUUUUCCUGUGGUUUAACCCAAAAAAGGAAGGAUGCUGGCCCAGACCCCGGAAUCAAGGUGUUGUUGCAAAUCAGGCCUCGGUAACAUCCACUUUCAGUCCUGGUGUCAAUAAAAUACUUAUUUGUCAUCUUAAUGAAUUAAGAAUUGGAUUCAAGUGUUGAGUGGUCUACCUAUUGUGCGGAGUAAAGCAAUGUUCGUACUUGUUCUAUACACGUAAACAUCUAAACAAGCACAUGUUUGUAUACUGUAUAUAGCUACGUUCUAAUUACGUUUUUCUUUAAUUUUGUCAAAUAAAUUAUAUCCUAUUGUCUUCUCUGUGUCUGUCGAUAUCUU